rnacentral:rRNA from 1 species
UACGUAGGGUGCGAGCGUUGUCCGGAUUUACUGGGCGUAAAGAGCUCGUAGGCGGUUUGUCGCGUCGUCUGUGAAAUCCCACAGCUUAACUGUGGGCGUGCAGGCGAUACGGGCAUAACUUGAGUACUGUAGGGGAGACUGGAAUUCCUGGUGUAGCGGUGGAAUGCGCAGAUAUCAGGAAGAACACCCGUGGCUAAGGCGGCUCUCUAGUACGGUACUGACGCUGAGACGCGAAAGCGUGGGGAGCGAACAGG